rnacentral:rRNA from 1 species
CCCGACUACAUGAAGCUGGAAUCGCUAGUAAUCGCGGAUCAGAAUGCCGCGGUGAAUACGUUCCCGGGUCUUGUACACACCGCCCGUCACACCAUGGGAGUCGGAAAUGCCCGAAGUCAGUGACCCAACCGUAAGGAGGGAGCUGCCGAAGGUGGAGCCGGUAACUGGGGUGAAGUCGUAACAAGGUAAC